rnacentral:lncRNA from 11 species
GUAUACACAUAUGAAACCAGAAACACUUAUUUGUCAAAUCCAUUAAUUCCACGAAACAAGAAGCAGAGAAAUCUAACGAAAUUGUAUAUGUAUAAUAUAACUAUUGAGAUAUGUAUAAUGUUUGUGCUGGACUAGUUCGAAUGCGUAGUGGAAAUGUUUGUAUGUGGAUAUCAGUGUGUGGAGAUAUGUGUAUGCGCGGCGACUGAGAAACAGACGAAUGUAAACAGUUCGGUUGGUUAACAGUCUACAAAAGGUCGGGUAUGGAAGAAAGUGUAGAGACGCGUGCAAGUGUAUAUCGAUGAAUAUUCUAGAAAUCGUUUAUAAAAUAAAUAUGUGUCUACGUUAAUAGUAAUACCCAGUGUAAAUUUAAUGUUUCCAUAACAAUAUUUCGGCCAUCAAGAUUCACAAUUCUCAACAAUAACCUUCGACCAACAAGUACUUUGGCAUUAAAAUUUCAAAAAGUUCAAAAAGCCGAGUCAAUCGCAUUGGCCCGUGAGCGGUUCAAACAAUUCGUAACACGCCUGUGUAACAGCCAUACUUUACAUUUCUAUGCCUUUUUUAUCUUCACGAACGUAACUGAAGAAGCGGAAUCAAAAUAGAAAUUUGUUUCAUCUACCAGAUAUUAUUGUAGUAUCGUGGACGAAAGGCCUAAGAGAUACCGGGCGAACCAUAAACAAUGUCGCGAGAAAGCCUAAGUGCCGACAGGCCUAUCCAUGUAUCGUCGGUCCUUCAAUCGAAUAGUUGCGCGGAAAAAAAGUCUACGUGACUCUGGCCACGAACGGUUGCGGAACACGUAUGUGGUGGGGCUAAGAAAAAAGACAAGGGGUUGCUAAGGGACAAAAACGAAUUAACAGUCAGUGUUGAGAAGUCAGAGAGUGCGAAUUGCGUUGUCGAGAGAGUGUGGUCCGCGUGAGAGAGAGCGUUGGAAUGGAGCUUCGCUUAUUCCAACAUGUUAAAUUGUGAAGUAACUGAUAGACGUGUACAAUAAAACUUGUCAUGUGAUAUUUUCGUCGAUAUCCAUGACCAAUCGUUACCAAUAUCUAUCAUCGAUUAUUACCAAGGAAGGGAAGGAAAAAGAGAGGAAACCUUUACAGAGGGAUGAGGCAAAUUGCCAUAACAUAUAAGCAGGAGUGGGUGCGGUGGAACGACAGAAUGUAAAUCUCACGAGGCCAUUCAUAAUGGAGAUCCAUUCAGCGAUGGCUGGCCUUAGCAGCCGGUACUAAGGAACAAACUGCGAUUUAAAUUGGACCAGCCUCCUUUGACUCGACUUGCAGCCAUUUAUCGGCUCGGAACUCGCCUUUCCACGUUUACCUUCGAGUGCCUACGCCUUUUUCCUCCCCUUCUGUGUUCGCCGUUUGUCUUCCUUUUGGAAAUCGUAUUAAUCGGCCGGAAGUGAAUUAAGCCAUCCAUGUUUCGCGUACAGCAAAUUCGAUCGCUGUGAGAUCAUGAAGCGCCGUGGCGCGUCGCGUUGUGUCGUACGACAACGAGGAUUUCGUUAUUAAUUUAACCCAAGGCUUUUCUUUCUUAGUAUUCUUAGUAUUCUGUCAAUCUGUGUGACGUAGAAUUUACGAAUCAUCUUAGUACCAAUGAUCUCUGGAAUUUGCGUGUAAAGCAAGUUAUGUAAUUAGUUUAUCAUAACAAGUUGUGAUAAAUUGGUAUAGUAAUUUUUGAGGUUAGUAGCGAAAACGAGAAAAAGACAAAUAAAUCAGCGAACAGAAAAAGGUGUGAAAAAAGAAUAUAUCCCGGUAAUGUCUCUCUUGUCUUGUGUGAUUUGAUUUUACCGCUUAAUAAAAUGCUUUUGGGAAUUAGUAAACGAUUAGAGAAUCGAUAAUUAUGUAAAAUACUCAAUAUCUGGUAUUUUUGUGUAUUUUAUACGAGUGUUUCCGAAAUCGUGGUACAAAAAGUGCGGUGGUGAUUCUACGUGUAAAAAUAAGCGAAAAAUAGGUUUGAAGUUGAAGUUGUAGAAAAUUGGUUGGUAUGUGCAGGCCGUGUCGUAAUGGACGCGUCACGAUCCAGCGAGCACCAAUUAAAAAAAGAGCAGACUUAGUCUCGCGACCGUCGAAGAGUUGGUUAUCAUGUGAAUUAAUGAAAUAGAAAAUUGCCUCUGGACGACGCGCACACAGCUACAAAAUCGGUGCAGGUGCGCCAGCCUGUCUUCCGUUUAAUUUCGAACAUCGACGUGAAAAAUUGGCGCGCGACCUUCUGCCUUGAUUACGUGCCACCCGGAUUCAACCUCUGGCCUCGUCGCGAGGCAAAAAUUCCUCCGAUCGUCAGCGCUAGACGCGCGCCGUCCGUACGGACCGCAUAGGCCGCGGGUAUUGAGCACUCAAAAGGUUAAGAAUGACCAGGGACAGAACGAAUCUGUAGCAAGUUGCAUAAACCAAUGUCUCUCAGAAGAUCUAGAGUCUCUUCCAUGGAGCCUUUCUUUUGUGGUAUGUUCAGAGUUUCAGACACGAAAUUAGCAUAUGUAAAACAGAGUUUCAGAGGGAAAUAAUACUCUGUAAGAAGGAGGUAGUCUAUCUGUGAAUAAGUUUGGACAAAGGACUCGCAUGGGAAACAGGAUGUACAUAGAACGAGGCAGUACGCUAGAUAAAUUCUGGAAAUUCUGCUGGCUCAUUAGAGGAACAUCGCGAUCGAAGCGUAAACCUAGUACGAAGUUGUGUUUGAGACACUAUGGACUUCCGGAAUCGUAUUGCAACGGUAGAAGCAGUUGAACGUCAGCUAACCAGGACCAGAGGAACACAAAGCGGUGGAAUAAGAAAAUACAAAAAGAAAAAGAAGUAAAAGUGUAAGAAGAGAUGACACAGAAAAGGCCAUUGAGCUUAGAUCAGUAGAGCAAGAAGCACGACGCAGCUGUCAUGUUAAAUUAAUGAUAAAAAAAGGAGUAGCUGAGCAAUAGCUUAACUAUUAAAGGCUGUGCCUUUAUAAUUUUGUGUUGAGGAGCAAGGAGAGGAUCCUGAUUGCCCUACGUAAUGGGGAAAAUGUAAUGUUGUACCAUGUGCGAAGGUCAGGUUAAAGCCUAAUGGUUCACUGUCAGGUAGUAUGGAAUGACGUGGAUUUGGGUAUGGUCGUUGUCACACCGCUAAAGUCGUCAACGGACAAUGCUUGAAAGACAACCAAAACUGUCUCAGACUGUUUUCAGGAAUUCGAGGAGAAUUAAAAUGCAACAUCCUUCGAGCAACUAUCAUCCUGCUGCUCCGGUCUGCCGAAAACUGUGGGACGAGAUACCGUACGAAUAAUAAACAACGUGCAAGCUCACUCGAGAGCGCCAUAACGACGAAUCUACAUAAAACAAGCGUAAAAGGGCUCUUGUAUCGCGGUUGGACACGAAACACGCGGUAUAAUAAAGAAACGAAUCAGGAGAUUGCAGUGAGAACGAUAGAAAAAGGAGAAGAAGAGAAAGGAAGAGACACGAGAAGGAAGAAACGAAGAGGGAAAGGAUUCUGUUGCAGUUCAUAGCGAGUUAGGUGGCAAAGGUUUUAAGGCGAAGGCGAGAUGAAGAGACAGGGCGAGCAGUCGGCAGAUGAAAAUUUCGUUUCUUUCACCUACACACGCCGACGUCGAAGAAACGACCUCCGAUUGUAAAAACGAUGAAGCAAGACAUUAGCUUUAUGAACUGGAAGAAAAAACAAGGAAGAGAGAGAGAGAGAGAGACAGAGGAAGGAGAGUGGAAAGAAAGAGAGAGAAGACCGUGACCACGGAUCUGGACGUUCUCCAAAGCUACAGAAACUGUCGGUCGUGUUGCCGGUUGUUAGAGCCAUACAAAACCAAGAUUUUAAAGUCGACAACAAAGUGCCGCAAACUGGGACGCAACGAUUUCAGUCUCCGGGUUCGGUCGUUCGUUAUUAACGUUUUCAGGACUUUUCGCUGCAUUCGGUCCUUUAUUCCGUUCUCUUUGCCCUUUCUUCCCUCGCCGACUUUAUCCUCCUCCUUAUCGCUGUCUCUUUGUCUCCCGCGUCGGAUGUGUAUUUUACUGCACGUAAAAACGGAACUUGUAACGCAUUCAGCGUGCCUGAUACAUGCAACACGCGUAACUUCUUUUUAUGUUUCAUAUUCGCCACUUUUAUUUCUUUCCUUUCUUUUCUUCUUCGGGAGUUGGGAGGGAGAGAGGGAGGGGAGUGUCUUAGACAGUUUCGUUCCUACUCGGUGAAAAUUCUUCAAUGCCGCUGCUUCCAGCGAGAGGUCAAUGUUCUGUCGUUUAUCAACCAGCAGAUUUGUACAAAAUUGGGAUACGCAGCUGUCAGACGCGUUUAAAACACGCUGCGCGCAUUCCAUUGGUAGAAUUCGCUAUUAAUAUCUCGUUUUAUCAGCGUAUCUCAUAACGUUUAAAUGUUAAUCAAGUUGAUCCGACGUGUUCUCGGUUACUCAGUGUCCACUGUUGAAACGCGAAAUUCAUUAAAUUUUAAGGAGAUAUUCGGACUACGUAAUGGGAAUACUUCGGAGAUACUUGGAGGGUAAUUUAACACUAGAACUACCACACCAGUCAAAUUGACUGGUUUUACAAUUUUAUUUUAAAAUU